CCAAAGUGCUGACCUCACAGGAGAGGGGAUGAGUGCAAGACUGUGGUGGUAGAUAUCCUGGGUUGCACAAGAUGCCCAAUCCAUCUUCAAGUGAUUCAGGAUAUCUGGAUUUGUGGGUUUCCAUCUGUGAUUUCUCUAAAAGGAAACUGCCACUAUUGGUGCAUUUGAAAGUUUUCAGGAGGAUACACAAUGGCUGCAUUACAACAAAGUCCAGGAUGGAAAAAGGAAGCUUUCCAACAUUUCAGAGUGGAAAUUAUGAAAAUUAGAAAGCUUC